GGAUUCUCGGCAUUUCCCUAAUGUAUCAGUGUGGAUUCCACGACUGGCAACAGUACCUUCCGCAGGAGGAAGAUGAGAGAAGGUGGCCGCGUGCCUUCGUGUUUACCAAGGCAGACCUGCUGUUCCUAGUAGGUUCCUAGCUGUCUAAAAUGGGACCGAGUGGGAGGGAAAAUUGUUUUGCCAAUUUUGUAAUGUUUAGGUUUACUAGCGGGUAAGGCUCCCGUUGCUGGUAGAGAGCUGACGCAUCUUGCAGUGACACGCGCAUGCCGUGUUUUAGCAGCACAGCUCAUCAGUUAGAUCUCGGAAGCAGCCUGCGUGUCCAUCAGCAGAUGGACGGGUGAAGAGAGGCUGACGUUUAUACACAAUGGAGAGCUACGCAGUCAUAAAGAAGGUUAAAUCUGAGUCAUCUGUAGGAAAACGACGUCCCUUGGACCGUAAUUUCAGAGAGGCUACGCGGGUGCGGCACGCACGCACUGAAACCCCACCCACAAGUCAUCCCUGUCACACUUCUGGGGUUACCCCGGGCCUCCAAAGGGCUGGCUUCCCUUGACCACCACACCUGGAGUGGAGCACCGGGGACCAAGGAGGAAUGAGGGGCUCAUGCGCCAACGAACCACUUCCUGGGCAGGAUGCCCCUCCUGUCCCUGAGCAGCACCGGCCGGGCUCCUGGGGGAGCCUCUUGUCCUCCAGGGCUUAGGAACCUCCAUCCCACCUGUGGUCCCAGCAUGGGCCUGACCCCACAUCCAUCCCUCUGCGUUUGGAAACCUGACACCCCCUUGUUGGCAGGGGCACCCAGAAUUCCCAGCUGCUCUCCUCCAGGGAGGAAAGUCCUGUCAGCACCAGCUCAUGACCUCAGCUGCCUGAUCACCAGAGACAGAAACACACCAGCCUUGAUCUGGCUCACACUCAUCCAGGUACACGGACACAGGAAAACCCACCAAAGCUGGCACCUAGGUGGCAGACAGAUGCCACGUGAUGCGAGCCACUGCCCGAGUGGAGUCACUGUGCUGACCCACGUGUCUGAGCCACUGUCCUCCUCAGCUGCUCACUCCACGCGUGACCCCCAGUGGCUCUGA
rnacentral:lncRNA from 1 species